UUCCAGAGACCUCUGACAUUUUCUGCUUCAGCCCCAGGGCCGGAGCUGUCAGCCAGCGGGGGCCCCAGAGGUCUCAGCUGCCAGCCCCAGAGGUCUGAGCCACGGUGGGGGGCCCCGCAGGUCUGAGCCACUAGCCCCAGAGCUCGAAACCUCUGUGGGGUGGUGGAGAUUCUAGAGCUCCCAGCCGCCGCGGGUGACAGCAGCAAUGGCUUGGAACUCUGGUCAUGUCAGCCGAUGGCCAGCUCACAAAACUAAAGAAAACACAGAAGACAUGCUAUCAGUGAGCUUGGUACGGAAUGACCAGGGUCAAAAUGACCCUUUAGGAUGGCACCACACUAAGAGCUCAAGUGAAUGACUGAUGAGAGGAAACAUGUUUAGAUGCAGAUUCCUCCUUCCAGGGCUGUAGAAAUUCAGUGAUGCCAUUUUCCUCUCACGGUGGCCGACCACUUUAAGGUCUGUGGCUAUAACACCUCAAGAGUUGGGUAAAGUUUCUUCAAUGAAUUGCUUUUUCCAUCAUUGCAUUUUUCAGGACCCAAAACUAUUUGAAAUUUGGCAAAUAGUUUCAGUGGAAAAAAAAAUGUUCAAGAGUUGAAAUGUUUCUUUUUGACCAUUUUGAAAUGUUUUAUCUUGGACUACUUUGUUUUGACUUUUCAUUUCAAAAUCUGGCCAAUUUAUAUUAAAAAAGGGUGAAAUACCCACACAA